rnacentral:tRNA from 2 species
GCGGAUAUGGUGGAAUUGGCAGACACGCUGGAUUUAGGUUCCAGUGGGAAACCGUGCAGGUUCGAGUCCUGUUAUCCGCACCA